UAUUUUGCAGAAGUCUUUUAAUCAAAGAAAAGAAAAUCAUGUCACAGAACUGAUAACACAUCACGCCCCAUGGGAGAAAAAAACAACAAGCAAUUUUCUGAUGUGGAUUUUCAGACUUGUUAAGACACAAAGAAGGCGGUGGAAAUACUCUAUGCCAUUUCAGUUUUUUACACAAUGGUUCACUCAGCGUUUGAAUCUCCAUAAUGAUCUAAAUUCUAAAAGGAACCCAUAAUAGACAUUUGUCUGAACUAACAUUUUCUCAAACAUUUCUAUUAUUACAUAUACAAAAUGCCCGAUAAAAAAUUGGAAAUUCAGUGCUAUCAUAACAGUUGGAAGGGAUAUGAGAUCAUAUCAAGAAACAUUACAAUAUUAGGCAAAGAAGGAAGGUCUUUAAACAGUCCAUAAACUGAGGCAAUUGAUUUAACAGAUUUUAUCUACUAUGAAAACACACCACAUUGUUAGACCAUCAUAAAGUACGUUUUAUAAAAGAACAGAAACUACAUUAUAAUAUUUCAACACAUGUUUCAGAUUUUACAUUUAAAUAAGAUAUUAGAAAUCGAUGAAUAUUGGUGUUAGUCUACAGAGGAAUUUCACCAUUGAAAACUGCGUGGAUGAGAGCAAAUUUCAAACAUCUGUGAAAGGGGUGUUGAUGCUAUGAUGGAUUACACCAAGCACAAACAAUAAUGCACUGACUCACUCUCAUGGUAACAAGUGCCAAUUAGAGAAAUGCCACUGCUCUAUAGAUACUGACCUGUCCACCCAUCAGCUGCCCCCGCUUUGUCAUCCCAGCCUCUUACGGAAAUACAGCAGUAUUAAACUGCUCUCUCUGGGUAAACUUCCCAUGAAGGAAAUUACUAAAACAGGCCCUACUCGGUCUGCUGAAUCCAUCUGCUCAUGUCUUGAUAUCUGGACCCAACUUUUCAAUGACAUUUUCACAGACUCUGUGAUAAACAGCAUGUUCAUUGUACAGCAGCCUGCAGUUUAAGUAUUCCUUUGCCAGAGAUGUCUAGACGGUUGAGUGCCAUUGCCAAGAACAUUGUUAAAUAUUAGAUUAAAUUUGCUGUAGGCUGAUGUUAUAACACAAAAUUACUAUUUAAUAAAUGGUCCUCAUGUCAGAAAAUUUUUUUAUCUGUACAAGCCCUACCAAAUAUAAUCUUUAAAUGUUGUCUGUCAGCCUCGCUGCUUAACAUUUACUCUGCAUAUUAUCAUGUCUGGGCUAAAUGUCCUGAUUUUAACUCCAGAAAAUUAUGAAAUAAAUGUUUAUUCUGGUUACAAAGCUAAAACAAAAAAUCCCUAAUUAUACAAUAUUAGCAUAGCUUUAGUUAAAUUUUGUUUUAUUUACAAAGAGUUGUGUAUGAGCAUGCAGCAGGUAGGCAGAAAACCACAGAAUAUCUUUAUUAACAAGGGUAACUUGUAGUAAUAAAAAAUAAGAAUAUAGUUGCCAGAAAAAAACAGUAAAAUAGGUGACUAUUUUUCACUGGAUUUUUUGCUGGAUAGCUAGCGCUCAUAACCAGAGAUAAAAUAACAUGAAAGUCAGGUUAGUAUGAUAAAGGAGUUUCUGUGUGAUUGAGGUCCACGUUAAAAAGCAGAUGCACAAGUGGUAGACUAAAAAUACAUCCUCAAUGAGAGCAGUCCGGAGGUUCACCACAAAGUAACCUUGAAGGAGAGAUUGGCCUAUUAAAAAAAAAAAAGUACAUUGUGGGGGGGUCCAAAUUCAUAGGCUGCAUCCUCCUGACGGUCUACGUGGACCGGGUCCUCCUUAGGCCGGGUAGACCGGAAGUGAGCGGCUGUGAAAUUGAACAGUCCAGCCUUCAGUUUUGUGUCACCAGCUGUCUCGGUGGAGUUUAAUAAACUUGGCCAUCUGCUCCUUUCUAUCUAAAAUAUAACAGGACACUGACGUAAAUUCUCGAUCAUUCACACGUCUGUUUAAUCAGUUUUCCGUUUGACGUUUAUUCAGCUGUGUGAAAACUAUAACUUUAAUCUCAGCUAAACUGAUUUACUCACGAACAAAUAAAACAGUAAAAAAAGCCAAACAAUAACAUUUUAAAGUUAUCUAAGCGACACAUAUAUAAUGUUUAACCUGAGUAGCGAAAGACCGCGGGGGGUUUGAAAAUGAUGUGCAGGGAGUUUGCUGUUAUCUAGCUAGCUAGCUAUCGAGCUGGUGGGUAACAGACGCCUCCGAAAAUGUCGGCGCACUUUUGCAGAUGUGUGAUAUCUUGAUAAACCAAGCAGAGUUUACACACCCACAUUCUCGCCUGAAAAUAUCUUAAAAGUUUAUUUUGUGACCCAGAAAGAUUAAUAAGAGUAAUAUUAAAACUUAGUAGCGACCGCCAUUGUUGAAAACUGGAAUUGGCUGGGCCACACUAUGAAUUCUGGGACAUGGUGGGCCAGGAAGGACACGCCCGACCCAUCCUUCUCUGCUGUAAAAGGCUGAUGGAGUUUUGUCGUCACCACACCUGGUGGGCAGGUGGUGUGGACAUCUAAGUCUGUUUAUGCGAUAACUCAAGAAUCACAUGACCUAGGAGCUUCAAAUUGAUAUCAUACGUGCAUGUACAAAACAUCUUGUAUAAAGUUGAAUUUCGGGGACCUUGACCUUGGAAUCUCAGUGGCCUCGGCGUAAAGGUCCAUGACGAAAUAUUUUCAGUUAAAAAACUGCUUUUCAUCUUAAUAAGUGUCAAACUUGAUCAUAAGAGAGCAGUCAAGGCCAUGCCGGCAACCAGCUAGGAACUAUGAAAUGGCUUGUAUUCAUUUUAUGUGAUACUGCAAUUUGUGCUUCAUUUUGCUAUCUGCCCUGAAUAAAAAAUACAUAAAUAAAUAAAUAAAAACCUGCCUGCUGCAGCAUACUAUUAAUCUUAGGUGUUUUUACAAAUGCACUGAAAGUUCUGGGUGCUGACUUUUUCUAACUAUUAUAUGAUGGAGAAUCUGUAAAAGCUCAAAUAUUUGUUGCAUUAGAUGAUCUUUAACCUGUCAGCUCCUCAGUACAAAGUCUGUAUGAUAAUUGAUUGUGCUAAUUUGGGAGUGAUGCAGCUAACAGUCCAGAAGUUUCACGGCUUCUGAAUGGUUGUAAUGUCUCCUGCAUGAUCUGUCUAGUCUUUGUUAAAACCAAAAGGUAUCAUUUCUGGGAGUGACAGAACUUCAGAUUAUGUCAUAUUGUGUGAUCCAUAUGAGAAAGGACAGCUUAGGUAAUUUCCUGAUUUGGUCUCCUGACAUUGUUUAAGUACUUGUGAGAAAACUAAAAAAGUCACAGAAAUCAGUUAACGUUUGGGGGAUUAAACAAUAGACUGUAAAUAAAAGAUGAACAUAGCCUCCUUGUUUGAAAAGUGAAGCCAAUAUGGAAAGUGCCUUAAGCAAGUUUUCUUCCAAUAAAUAGUAGAGGCUGACUCAUCAGGUUGCAAGUCUACAGGAAGAAAAACCCUUCUGCUCAAUGAGUCUCAGUAAACCUCUUGUCAAAUUUGCCACUACCAUUUAAAACAAUAAAGUAGAAUGUGCUUUAUGUUGGCCUAGGCUAUGAUUGAUGAGCAGUAUUUGGGUCAUUACUCCAAAGUAAUACAUCACACAUUUCUCAUUACUUUCCUCAUAAGUAAUGUAGUACAUUACAUAAUUACUCAUUCGGGAAAUUAACUGGUUACACUUGCUAAAUUAAUUUUGUGUUUUCCUUUAAUAAUCAGCUAACUAUAUAAACCCAAAGCUAUAAUGCACAAACUGACACAAAUCCCUGUCUCACUGAGGACAAACAUAUCAGAUCUGCCUUUUAGUGUCACCUACAAACACAGAACCUACAAUGUGCUUUCUUUGCUAGCUUUUGCAUUAGCAUGCUAUCUGUGCAGAUGCCUGCAAAGAGCCAAUGCUGUGUGAGCAGUACAAUGUGGCUGUUUCUAUUGUAGAUGUAGUUUGCACUUUGCCAUUGCGCUCUUGUUCUUUCGUGCAAUAAAAAUAAAAGGAAUAUCCAAAGUUCCACUCCUUAAAUGGUGUAGAC
ensembl:lncRNA